rnacentral:rRNA from 1 species
GACAGAGGGUGCAAGCGUUGUUCGGAAUUACUGGGCGUAAAGCGCGCGUAGGCGGCUUUCUAAGUCGGGUGUGAAAUCCCACGGCCUAACCGUGGAAGUGCAUUCGAUACUGGAGAGCUUGAGUCCUGGAGAGGGUGGUGGAAUUCCCAGUGUAGAGGUGAAAUUCGUAGAUAUUGGGAGGAACACCGGUGGCGAAGGCGACCACCUGGACAGAGACUGACGCUGAGGUGCGAAAGCGUGGGGAGCAAACAGG